rnacentral:rRNA from 1 species
CCUACGGUAGGCAGCAGUGGGGGCUAUUGCACAAUGGGGGAAACCCUGAUGCAGCGACGCCGCGUGUGGGAAGACGGUCCUCUGGCUUGUAAACCACUGUCCCCAGGGACGAAGAUGACGGUACCUGGGGAGGAAGCUCCGGCUAACUACGUGCCAGCAGCCGCGGUAAUACGUAGGGAGCGAGCGUUGUCCGGAAUUACUGGGUGUAAAGGGAGCGUAGGCGGGACUGCAAGUUGUGUGUCAAAUCUACCGGCUCAACCGGUAGCCGCACUUAAAACUGCAGUUCUUGAGUGAAGUAGAGGCAGGCGGAAUGCCUAGUGUAGCGGUGAAAUGCGUAGAUAUUAGGAGGAACACCAGUGGCGAAGGCGGCCUGCUGGGCUUUUACUGACGCUGAGGCUCGAAAGUGUGGGGAGCAAACAGGAUUAGAUACCCGUGUAGUC